AAGGGCACCACAAGACGCGUGGAGCAUGUGGCUUAAUUCGACUCAACGCGGGAAAUCUUACCGGGUCCGGACGUGCUGAGGAUUGACAGGUUUUGCGUCAUUUACACACUCGUGUGUAUUUGGCACUUAAAGAUGCUAGUCCUUUCAUGAUUGUGCGAUAGGUGGUGCAUGGCCGUUCUUAGUUCGUGGAGUGAUCUGUCUGCUUAAUUGCGUUUCGCAAAAGGUCAUCACUAACGCUUUCUGAGCACCUAACGUUCAGCGUUCGCCCUGUUUGCUGUUCUUUUUGUGACCAUUUAACUGUUGGUGUGCGUGUCUCAUGCUGUUGCGCGGGUCGGGACGGCUCACAUUUAUGUGGUGCAUGUCUCACCCGACCGACACUUGGUGACGCCUCACUGGCGGGACGGUUACUUAGAGCAGUUGAGGUUUGAAUGCCGUUGGGUUACUUUUCAAGUCUCAGUAUAGCGUGUUGACCUUUGAAAGCAACGAACGUGACCG
rnacentral:rRNA from 1 species